AACGAACGCUGGCGGCAGGCCUAACACAUGCAAGUCGAGCGAGGACUUCGGUUCUAGCGGCGGACGGGUGAGUAACGCGUGGGAAUGUGCCCUUCUCUACGGAAUAGCCCUGGGAAACUGGGAGUAAUACCGUAUACGCCCUUUUGGGGAAAGAUUUAUCGGAGAAGGAUCAGCCCGCGUUGGAUUAGGUAGUUGGUGGGGUAAUGGCCUACCAAGCCGACGAUCCAUAGCUGGUUUGAGAGGAUGAUCAGCCACACUGGGACUGAGACACGGCCCAGACUCCUACGGGAGGCAGCAGUGGGGAAUCUUAGACAAUGGGGGCAACCCUGAUCUAGCCAUGCCGCGUGAGUGACGAAGGCCUUAGGGUUGUAAAGCUCUUUCAGCUGGGAAGAUAAUGACGGUACCAGCAGAAGAAGCCCCGGCUAACUCCGUG
rnacentral:rRNA from 1 species